CAGGCUUAACACAUGCAAGUCGAGGGGCAGCAUGGUCUUAGCUUGCUAAGGCCGAUGGCGACCGGCGCACGGGUGAGUAACACGUAUCCAACCUGCCGUCUACUCUUGGACAGCCUUCUGAAAGGAAGAUUAAUACAAGAUGGCAUCAUGAGUCCGCAUGUUCACAUGAUUAAAGGUAUUCCGGUAGACGAUGGGGAUGCGUUCCAUUAGAUAGUAGGCGGGGUAACGGCCCACCUAGUCUUCGAUGGAUAGGGGUUCUGAGAGGAAGGUCCCCCACAUUGGAACUGAGACACGGUCCAAACUCCUACGGGAGGCAGCAGUGAGGAAUAUUGGUCAAUGGGCGAGAGCCUGAACCAGCCAAGUAGCGUGAAGGAUGACUGCCCUAUGGGUUGUAAACUUCUUUUAUAAAGGAAUAAAGUCGGGUAUGGAUACCCGUUUGCAUGUACUUUAUGAAUAAGGAUCGGCUAACUCCGUGCCAGCAGCCGCGGUAAUACGGAGGAUCCGAGCGUUAUCCGGAUUUAUUGGGUUUAAAGGGAGCGUAGAUGGAUGUUUAAGUCAGUUGUGAAAGUUUGCGGCUCAACCGUAAAAUUGCAGUUGAUACUGGAUAUCUUGAGUGCAGUUGAGGCAGGCGGAAUUCGUGGUGUAGCGGUGAAAUGCUUAGAUAUCACGAAGAACUCCGAUUGCGAAGGCAGCCUGCUAAGCUGCAACUGACAUUGAGGCUCGAAAGUGUGGGUAUCAAACAGGAUUAGAUACCCUGGUAGUCCACACGGUAAACGAUGAAUACUCGCUGUUUGCGAUAUACUGCAAGCGGCCAAGCGAAAGCGUUAAGUAUUCCACCUGGGGAGUACGCCGGCAACGGUGAAACUCAAAGGAAUUGACGGGGGCCCGCACAAGCGGAGGAACAUGUGGUUUAAUUCGAUGAUACGCGAGGAACCUUACCCGGGCUUAAAUUGCAGAUGAAUUACGGUGAAAGCCGUAAGCCGCAAGGCAUCUGUGAAGGUGCUGCAUGGUUGUCGUCAGCUCGUGCCGUGAGGUGUCGGCUUAAGUGCCAUAACGAGCGCAACCCUUGUUGUCAGUUACUAACAGGUCAUGCUGAGGACUCUGACAAGACUGCCAUCGUAAGAUGUGAGGAAGGUGGGGAUGACGUCAAAUCAGCACGGCCCUUACGUCCGGGGCUACACACGUGUUACAAUGGGGGGUACAGAGGGCCGCUACCACGCGAGUGGAUGCCAAUCCCCAAAACCUCUCUCAGUUCGGACUGGGGUCUGCAACCCGACUCCACGAAGCUGGAUUCGCUAGUAAUCGCGCAUCAGCCACGGCGCGGUGAAUACGUUCCCGGGCCUUGUACACACCGCCCGUCAAGCCAUGGGAGCCGGGGGUACCUGAAGUGCGUAACCGCGAGGAGCGCCCUAGGGUAAAACUGGUGACUGGGGCUAA
rnacentral:rRNA from 1 species